rnacentral:pre_miRNA from 1 species
AGCCUUCUGAAUUUAAGUCGAGGUUUCGUCAGACACCAAACCAUCAGUACUGAUGAGACUCCUAAGACACGUGAAGCG